rnacentral:rRNA from 1 species
CACGUAGGGCGCAAGCGUUGUCCGGAAUUAUUGGGCGUAAAGGGUGCGUAGGCGGCGCGGUAAGUCGGGUGUGAAAUCUCGGAGCUUAACUCCGAAACUGCAUUCGAUACUGCCGUGCUUGAGGACUGGAGAGGAGACUGGAAUUUACGGUGUAGCGGUGAAAUGCGUAGAUAUCGUAAGGAAGACCAGUGGCGAAGGCGGGUCUCUGGACAGUUCCUGACGCUGAGGCACGAAGGUCAGGGGAGCAAACGGG